rnacentral:lncRNA from 1 species
AGACUCUCCUUCCCAAUCAAAUUUAAUUCUGCUUUUAAUGCCAAAGAGUAAGGUGGAUCCUCUCUAAUUCUAAUUUUCUCCGCAGGUGUAAUGCUUGUAUAGCCCUGGAGACCAUGCCCCAGUUUUCCACAUCCAAAACAGAAGGUUGGCAAUUUUUCAUACUUGAAAGGGAUCCAGCAUUUAUUCCCAUUCCCUGUUGACACAAAUAUACCUCUACGAAUUGGUUUUUGCACAUUGAGCUGUAUUCUAAGGCGACAAAACUCACCGCUAAUUUCAGAUCUGAUCACUCCACCGAACGUGACCCCUACAGCAUGCAGAAGAUCCUUUUUAUCAAACACUGGUAAACAGGGUCCAAUUUUAAUCCAAAACGGAGAUGAAACAAGCGUAAUUUGGUCUCUCGUUGUCGGCUUAAAAAUCCGGUCAAAAGUAAUUAAAUUCUUCCUAAACAACCAUGGUUGGCCUUCCAUCACAGAUUCCAAAUCAUCCUCUGAUUCAAACGUUAUCAAAAAAAGAUUUUUCCCCACCAAUUGAAUCUCAAACUUUUCCUUUGUUUUCCAGAUACUUUUCAUCUGUGCUUUGAAACUAUCAUGAUUAUAAGAUUUAUUUGUCCAAACAGAACAGAUCAGAGAAGGUUUACCGUUUGGCUCCACCAUCGAGCUUUUGACCGAUAGUUGAGUAAGUUCCUCUUCUAAUAGGGAGAUCUCGUCUCUCCGAACCCCGUUGAUGCCACCACUCUCCAUCAUCCCAAGCCACAGCAGCCACUGUUUUCGCUAGGACACCAAGGAUUGCACUCUUGGCUUCUAGGGUUUUUUCAGUCGGUUGAAAAAACUUAAUUAUUAUUAUUUUUGAUUAAUAAAAUAUUAUUUUUAUUGAAGAUAAGUUAUCAUUUUUAACAUCCCUAACCCUAAACUGUCGCCGGAAUGGGGUUACGAGGCAUUACCGG